rnacentral:rRNA from 1 species
AAUCGUGUGAAUACCAGUCGUGAUGGGGCUAGAUCUUUGCAAUUAUUGAUCUCCAACGAGGAAUUCCUAGUAAACGCAAGUCAUCAGCUUGCAUUGAUUACGUCCCUGCCCUUUGUACACACCGCCCGUCGCACCUACCGAUUGAACGUUCCGGUGAGACCUUCGGAGGGCACGAUGUUCCUGGCGACAGGACGUGGUGGCCAAAGUUGAGCAAACCUUAACGUUUAGAGGAAGGUGAAGUCGUAACAAGGUUUCCGUAGGUGAACCUGCGGAAGGAUCAUU